CUUAAAUUUGGGGCCGCCAAACACGCCUUAGUCUGACUAAAAUAACUGGCCAAUCCUUAAAAUGGUGUUAUUUCCUUUGGCAAUCAGAUUCAUCCGCCAUGAAUCUCUCUUCCAGCCCACUAAGAAAAAGAACGCAAAACCUACACAAUGAAUUGAUCAUUCACAGAUCUCCCGCAGAAGCCUAUUCCAUGCCAUUCCCAUUUUCCAUUAAUUAAGUCCUUACCGCUAGUAUAAAAUCCCUUGUCGGAGGCAUAUCACCAACACCACCACCCGACCACAAUCCACUUUUUUCUGAAAAAUUUCUACCAUGAAUGCUGAUAAAAGCAUUUCAUCUUUCGGCUCCGUAUGGGUGCAGCAAAAUGUCGGAAGGACUCCUGGUGCAGUGGCCCAAAAUCGACAUUUGUCCAUGGGGUCCAUCAAAACACAGCUAGCAGGCGAUUCACACAAAUACGCCCACUUUUGCACAUAGUCUGUGGAUUGCAAGAUAUCAAUCAAGUUGAUGCGUAAUGCAUAUGCUGUGACACGUGGAUCGCUAUGCUUCAACUCCAAGUAGAAUUGCAGGAAGUGUCAUUCAUUAUUCGGAGUGGCGACAUAUCCACAUCUGCAAAAUACUCAAUCUUGAUACAUGAACGUCGCAUAUCGACCUUGAGCUCAUUCGCUAUCAUGUCGACAAGACCAAAGUACUUGGAACCAAAAGGAACUAGGAGACCAAAAGUAUUUGCGCCAUUCACUACAAAUACAUUAACCGCAUCCAUUCUUGUGCAAAGGAAAAAUAAAUGACUCUGGAUAAGUCUAAGUUCUGUAGAUAGGAACCUGUACACAGUUUUGAUGAAAAAUGGUUUCAGACGCAGCCUCAAAAUCAUAUUGUGAGAGGAUCAUUACCAAACAUUUAUUCCAAA